rnacentral:rRNA from 1 species
GCCGGUGACAAACCGGAGGAAGGUGGGGAUGACGUCAAGUCCUCAUGGCCCUUAUGGUAGGGCUUCACACGUCAUACAAUGGUCGGUACAGAGGGUUGCCAAGCCGCGAGGUGGAGCCAAUCCCUUAAAGCCGAUCGUAGUCCGGAUCGUAGUCUGCAACUCGACUACGUGAAGUCGGAAUCGCUAGUAAUCGCAGAUCAGCAUGCUGCGGUGAAUACGUUCCCGGGUCUU